rnacentral:rRNA from 1 species
CCUACGGGCGGCAGCAGUGGGGAAUAUUGCACAAUGGGCGCAAGCCUGAUGCAGCCAUGCCGCGUGUGUGAAGAAGGCCUUCGGGUUGUAAAGCACUUUCAGCGGGGAGGAAGGCGGUGAGGUUAAUAACCUCAUCGAUUGACGUUACCCGCAGAAGAAGCACCGGCUAACUCCGUGCCAGCAGCCGCGGUAAUACGGAGGGUGCAAGCGUUAAUCGGAAUUACUGGGCGUAAAGCGCACGCAGGCGGUCUGUCAAGUCGGAUGUGAAAUCCCCGGGCUCAACCUGGGAACUGCAUUCGAAACUGGCAGGCUAGAGUCUUGUAGAGGGGGGUAGAAUUCCAGGUGUAGCGGUGAAAUGCGUAGAGAUCUGGAGGAAUACCGGUGGCGAAGGCGGCCCCCUGGACAAAGACUGACGCGCAGGUGCGAAAGCGUGGGGAGCAAACUGGAUUAGAUACCCGGGUAGUC